CCUACGGGUGACAGCAGUAAGGAAUAUUUGUCAAUGGCCGGAACACUGAACCAGCAAAGCCGCGUGAAUGACGAAGGUUCCAAGCAUUGUAAACUUCUUUUGUCAAGGGACAAACUCAGGCUCGAGAACCUCACCGAGUGUACUUGAAUAAAAAGCAUCGGCUAACGCCGUUCCAGCAGCCGCGGUAAUACGGAGGCUGCGACCGUUAUCCGUAUUUAUUGUGUUUAAAGGUAGCGUAGGCGUACUUUUAAGUCAUCGGUAACAGCCCGGGGCUCAACCCCGGAGAGCAGUUGAAACUGGCUGUCUUGAGUGGUCGAGAGGUAAGCGGAAUGCGCAGUGUAGCGGUGAAAUGCUUAGAUAUUGCGCAGAACUCCGGUUGCGAAGGCAGCAUACCGGCGGCGAUCUGACGCUGAGGCACGAAAGCGUGGGUAUCGAACAGGAUUAGAUACCCUGGUAGUC
rnacentral:rRNA from 1 species